AAAACUAAAGUGUUCAAAAUACCAUAAAAGGAAAGUUUGUAUAAUAUAGCUAGUGAGUGAAAUCAUUCAUACUCUUUGAAGAACAAAAAUGGCAUCACACGACCAAAGCUACAAAGCUGGUGAGACCAUGGGCCGAACUGAGGUAUAUUAUAUAUAACAAAUUUCAUGCAAAAUUAUUUCUGAAUUUUUUUUUGUUUUAUUUAUUUAUAAUAUAUUAAUUUUUAUUCUAAAUUUAAUUUAUAUAUACAUAGUUUUUACAUUCUCAAUGAAGCUCACAAGUGUCACAAGUGUAAUGUUGGGUCACAAGUAUAAUGUUAUUAAAGAAUUUUAUAUUAAUAAUGUAUUAUAAUUGAAUUUUAUAUUAAUAAUGUAUUAUAAUUGAAUUUUAUUUUUUCGUUUAAAUUAUUUAUCUUAUAAAAUAUAUACAAAUAAAUCAUAGUUUUUAUUUUUUAUUAAAAAAUUAUAGUGCAAGUUACACAGGAUUAUUAUUACUAUUUUUAUUUUAAAAAAAUUAUUUAUUAAAAUUAAAGAAACCCUUAAUAACAUCAUCAUCAUCUUCUUCACUUAUCCUUCUAAACUCAAAAUUAAAUUACUCAAUUCUCAAUAAAUACUAUAUUUACAAAACUCAUAGCCACAAAACAACAGUGAAAAUAUAUUCCUUUUAUUUUCUGAUGUGAAAAUCCUAAAUUUCCCAAACCGAUAACCACGAAACAAUAAUUAAAAUAUAUUCCUUUAUUUUCUGAUCUUAAGUAUUGCAUUCUAUAUUUUUUAGGAGCAAGAUGUUUAACAAAUGCCGAGUGUUAUAAAAAUGACUAUGCUAAUGCCAUUUUUAAUUUAAAAAAAUAAAAAAUAAAAGAGGAAUUAAUCGUGCUUUGAUGGAUUGGUGGAUCAGGAAAAGACCAACCAAAUGAUUGGCAACAUAGAAGAUAAGGCCCAAG
rnacentral:lncRNA from 1 species